AAAGAACUGUGUCCCAAUGUUGUGAGAAGAGAAAGACACAAUGAACCACUGCUGGCUUUGAAGAUGGAAGAGGGAGCUGCAACCCAAAGAAUGCCUCUAGAAGCAGGAGAAGGCAAGAAACAGAUUCUCGCCUAGAGCUUCCAGAAAGGAGCACAGUGCCAGCACUUUGAUGUUAGCCAUUCUUAAGAAGUGACUCUCCAGGGGAGCUAAAAUCCAUGUAUUUGGGCACACACUUGAACAAUAUUGCUAGAGAAAUUUAAGCAAGAGCACAAAGAAGGUGGUUCCAUCUGCUCUUAAUACCAAGACAGUUCUUCUGUGUAAUUGGUUAAUGACAUCUCUUGUGGGGACCACUGUGAGAAUAAAACAAGGCACUACGUUGUCUGGGAUGAUGGAAGGAGCUAAAGUCUUCAGUGAAUGAAGGAGCAGGACCAGGAGCUCAAAAUACUUCUUUGAAGACAAAGAAGAAAUGAUAUUACCAAAUGGUUGGCUCAAAAGAACAGGGAUUUUGCAACAGAGAGAGUAUGUCAUGGUCUUGAACAAGCAAUGUUUUGCCAGGACGAUUAAAUAUCAUUGAUGCUUCUGGUCUACAAUUAGUCAGAGAAGAGAUUAAAAAAAUGAUGAGUAUUCAAGAAGGAAAGUGUUUGCUUUAACAUAUGAAGAAAAGGAGCUUCAGAGUGGUGAUUAACCCCAGAAUUGUGUGGAACGGAUAUGGAAACAAGACCACAGGAGCAUCGAGAACUGAGCAGAACUGAAGGUGACAUGAAAAUCAGCUGCAAGAUUCACCUCAGGGUGAUAAUGGGCUGCAGGUGGCUGCAGGAAUCCCGGGACAUUCUAGGCACUGCCAUAUUUUCUUAGGGGCCAGUAAGGAUGGCUAUCAUCAGAUGUACCUGAUGAUACAAACAUGGGCUGUCUUGCCUUCUAGUAUUCAUUCUUGAUGAUUGCAUCCAGAGCUCACUUUGGAGGUGCAGAUCAACUCUUCUUCAGGCUCAUCCAUGCGACUUGAGUGGGCUCUCAUCCCCAUUCCCAGGGGCUUAUGACAAUCAAGGUUUCCACUCCUCCAUGGUCUCAAUGGUUUUUCUCCCCAUGGGAAGCACAUAAUCCCAUUAGAGGCCACGGGAAGCUUUUUUGUUGGGCUUUGAGGGAAAAAAGGCUUUUGCAGCCAAUGAAUCGAUCAAUGUGUACUUCAACCUGGAUUGUAUGUAUGCAUCUCCUAGAUUGGGCGGAUGAUGAAGUGAGGCUGGAAGUGCUGAGCAUCUUCCUACCUGGGAUGACUGGGCUGAGCAGGAAGCCUACCCCGGGGUUCCAGCCAAGUUGGAGCCUGUGAGUGUGUGGUGUAGUUUAACGCCCUGAUUAAAUCACUAGGAAGCCAUUUCUCUCUCUCCUCCCAGACCAGAUCAGACAAUAUGUUCCCUUAUUUCUACUAAAGCCCCAAUUGGAUUUUGUGUCUUUUGAUACUGAAAGAAUCUUACCACAAAUAAAAUAAUUUGUCAUGUGGCUCCUACAUAUUUAUUCAGUUACAUAAACUAACUAAAUAAAUGAAUAAACUGUCAAUAAUGGUAGUUCCUCAUCUAUGAAUGACUCUUUACAAAGCCUAUCUCGCUUAAUAGUCAUAAUAAAUACUGAAGUAGAUACUAUUUAUACCUUUUUUUUAAAAGGAAUUAAAUAUUUUCAGGGUUAUACAAAGCAUGAGUAUUGUGGGUACAAAUUCAAGCUUUCUAACUCAAAUUUGAAGACUUAUCCCCAGGAUACUUUUACAUCUUUAGCUAGUACCAUGUAUACCUCAAAAGCUUACAUUAUUUUUCACAUGUGUUAGGUUUUGAGGGAUAAUCAAUAAGGAGGGCAUACUUUCAGGCUUCUUAUUUAUAACUGUGAAAUUUAGAAAUUGAUGGAGUAGCAGAUUUCUCGGUAGGAGACAGCUGUUUUAAAAUGCCCCAUGUUUUUAUUAAAGUAAAAAUCUCAAAAAUUGUCUUUUAAAAAGUGGCUCUGGCCAAUCUUAGAUAAAACAUCAUUUACUAGACUUAGGAAUUUCCUGUAGUAAAUUUCAGAUUUACUUUUCGGUCUCACAUCAUCAAAGAGAUCAUAACCCUUUGUGCAAUUAUGGUCUUGAACCAAGGCCUAUUCUCUAGGUCACUGCUGUCAGGACUUCAAGAUAAUUGUUUCCAUUGCAGGAUUUGAUUUUUAAUUCCCCGGAUGUUCUUGACGUGGUUCAGUUCUUCAGGAAAUCAUCACCCUCAUGAGCCCUCCCUGCCACUUGCAGAUAGGGCUUUCUCCCGGUAAGUUCUGGAGUCACGGCAGAGCUCAAUAAGUCUGAUUGGGACCUCCUAUGAUUAU
rnacentral:lncRNA from 1 species